AGUGAACGCUGGCGGUAGGCCUAACACAUGCAAGUCGAACGGCAGCACAGAGGAGCUUGCUCCUUGGGUGGCGAGUGGCGGACGGGUGAGGAAUACAUCGGAAUCUACUCUGUCGUGGGGGAUAACGUAGGGAAACUUACGCUAAUACCGCAUACGACCUACGGGUGAAAGCAGGGGACCUUCGGGCCUUGCGCGAUUGAAUGAGCCGAUGUCGGAUUAGCUAGUUGGCGGGGUAAAGGCCCACCAAGGCGACGAUCCGUAGCUGGUCUGAGAGGACUAUCAGCCACACUGGAACUGAGACACGGUCCAGACUCCUACGGGAGGCAGCAGUGGGGAAUAUUGGUCAAUGGGCGCAAGCCUGAUCCAGCCAUACCGCGUGGGUGAAGAAGGCCUUCGGGUUGUAAAGCCCUUUUGUCGGGAAAGAAAUCCAGCUGGCUAAUACCCGGUUGGGAUGACGGUACCCAAAGAAUAAGCACCGGCUAACUUCAUGCCAGCCGCCGCCGUAA
rnacentral:rRNA from 1 species